rnacentral:rRNA from 1 species
UACGUAGGGGGCAAGCGUUGUCCGGAUUUAUUGGGCGUAAAGAGCGUGUAGGCGGCCAUACAGGUCCGUUGUGAAAACUGGAGGCUUAACCUCCAGACGUCGAUGGAAACCGUAUGGCUAGAGUCCGGAAGAGGAGGAGUGGAAUUCCUGGUGUAGCGGUGAAAUGCGUAGAUAUUGGGAGGAACACCGGUGGCGAAGGCGGGUCUCUGGGCCAUUACUGACGCUGAGGAGCGAAAGCGUGGGGAGCGAACAGG